GUGUUGGUGGUAUAGUGGUUAGCGUAGCUGCUUGCCAAGCAGUUGACCUGGGUUCAAUUCCCAGUCAAUGCA